CCUACGGGAGGCUGCAGUGGGGAAUAUUGGGCAAUGGGCGCAAGCCUGACCCAGCAACGCCGCGUGAAGGAAGAAGGCUUUCGGGUUGUACACUUCUUUUAAGAGGGAAGAGCAGAAGACGGUACCUCUUGAAUAAGCCACGGCUAACUACGUGCCAUCAGCCGCGGUAAUACGUAGGUGGCAAGCGUUAUCCGGAUUUCUUGGGUUUAAAGGGUGCGUAGGCGGGCAUUUAAGCCGGCGGUCAAAUGUCGGGGCUCAACCCCGGCCUGCCGUCGGAACUGGGUGCCUUGAGUGGGCGAGAAGUAUGCGGAAUGCGUGGUGUAGCGGUGAAAUGCAUAGAUAUCACGCAGAACCCCGAGUGCGAAGGCAGCAUACCGGCGCCCUACUGACGCUGAGGCACGAAAGUGCGGGUAUCGAACAGGAUUAGAUACCCCUGUAGUC
rnacentral:rRNA from 1 species